rnacentral:rRNA from 1 species
CCAGACUCCUACGGGAGGCAGCAGUGGGGAAUCUUCCGCAAUGGGCGCAAGCCUGACGGAGCAACGCCGCGUGAGUGAAGAAGGUCUUCGGAUCGUAAAGCUCUGUUGAUGGGGACGAACGUGCCUAAUGCGAAUAGUUUUAGGCAAUGACGGUACCCAUCGAGGAAGCCACGGCUAACUACGUGCCAGCAGCCGCGGUAAUACGUAGGUGGCGAGCGUUGUCCGGAAUCAUUGGGCGUAAAGGGAGCGCAGGCGGGCAUGUAAGUCUUUCUUAAAAGUGCGGGGCUCAACCCCGUGAUGGGAAAGAAACUAUGUGUCUUGAGUACAGGAGAGGAAAGCGGAAUUCCCAGUGUAGCGGUGAAAUGCGUAGAUAUUGGGAGGAACACCAGUGGCGAAGGCGGCUUUCUGGACUGCAACUGACGCUGAGGCUCGAAAGCCAGGGGAGCGAACGGGAUUAGAUACCCCGGUAGUCCUGGCCGUAAACGAUGGAUACUAGGUGUGGGAGGUAUCGACCCCUACCGUGCCGGAGUUAACGCAAUAAGUAUCCCGCCUGGGGAGUACGGCCGCAAGGCUGAAACUCAAAGGAAUUGACGGGGGCCCGCACAAGAAGG